CCCAUCCCAUGCCAGCUCUCUGCCAUCCUUCUCUGCAGGCCUGAGACUCCUGAGGUCAGAGACCACAGCAGGAUCCCAAGGGGUGCAGCCUGGAGCUUGGGCAGCAGCUUGACUCUAGGCAGCAGCCCUGGGUCUGGCCACAGCCCCACAGCCAGGGUCAGCCUGCACUGCUGCCUGGAGCCCAGCUCAACAGUACAGAUACCCCCAGAGCCCUGCACAACUGUCCCACUGCUAACCUGUGACCCCCUCCGCCCGCCCUCCAGGAGUCACCAACCCCAAGUUCCCUGGCUGCCUCUCCUUUGACCAGGGAACUUUAGGGUCGCCCAACUGUCCCCUCACUCACCUAUGACCCUUAACCAACCCUGCUUCCCCCAGGGCCCUUCCCUGCACUCCAACUCCAGCCUCUAGGACUCAGCCUCCCUGCUGGGGACCCAGAGCUCUGCGGAACAGUUUGAGGAAGCUCUCAGCCAAGAUUCCAGCCCUGCAGGGGCUGCUGCAGCGCACACAC
rnacentral:lncRNA from 1 species